CAGCCAUCACCGAUCCAUGUUUCAUUUUCCGUCUGUUUUGUCUUUGGUUCAUUCACACCUGGUUUUCAUUUGCUUUAAUUUCUGUGUGUAUAUUUACCCCUGCUUAGGUUUGUGCGGGAUUAUUUUUCUUGUUGCUUGUGGAGGCUUUCCUCCGUGUAUUUGUUUUUUGCGCCAUACGGGAGUACUGUUAGUUCCCAUUGCAUUGGGCGUUGUUUUGGGGGUAUUGUACUGUACCGUGUUUUUAGACUUGCCCUGGUUAUAAUUUACGCUACACUGACAUUUCUGCCUGCGUUUGACUCCUCACCUACCUUCAGUGCGUCAACGCAACAGUACAUUACCGUGAAAUGCUUACGUACAAGCCCGUAACCAACAAUGCAGAAUCAAGUCAUUGCCACAGUUGCAUGGUGCUACUGAUGGAGAUCACCUGCCAGUGGAUGUUACGGUCAGCCAACAACUCCCAGGGUCUGCUGGGCGUCAGGACUUUAACCUCAGCCUGCUCCUGGAGGAUCUCAUCCAACUCUGACCGCUGGAUCUCACAGCCACGUAGACGCCACAAGGCUAACAUGCAUGCACACACAAUGCAUUAUGUAAAUGCAAACAAAUGAUUUUAAAAAGUACAAAGAUGCAUGCAAUUGAUACAAAGACUUUCCAUGCCUGCUGAUGCAGAAUAAUGAAUAACAGCAGCAGAACUUGCUCAUGUUUUUAUAUAUCGCUCACACUAACUCGCAUACAAGAGCAACAGAGCCAUGUGGCUCGGUCAAGAAAGUACUGCACAUAGCCACAGACUAACACAGGUCAUGGUCUGGCUCUCCUCCUACCUACCAUUGAUACAGGCCUCCUCAUUGCCCUGUCAGUAGAAACAAGUAUAUAUAUUUUUCUUCAAAACACAAAUGAUAAGUUGGUUAGAUUAUAUUUUCAAGCAAAAUUGUAACAUUGGAACUAUUCGGUCAUCCAUAAAGUCGUUGUAAAAGUGCUUGAGUCAUACAGGUUGUCCAGGACACAGAGCGCAGACCCCCAAAACAUCUCUACUAUAAGUACAGCAAAUUUCCAGUUGACAUCAAUGUGUGACAUUUAAAGGUUUGUGUAGCCUGUAGGUCACCAAGUUGAAUUGAGGCACAUACAGUAUUAUAGGCUAUUACCAACAUCAUUGGCUAAUACGGAUCAGCCUCUUCAAAUGUUGCUGUCCAGCCAGCAGAUGGUGCUGCAUUGAAGGCUUAUGAGUAAUUGCAUUUGAGUUUAAUACAAUACUUUAAAGUAAAAACAGUUGUAAAAUACCAGGGUGGGUUUGCAGCAACAUGAAUGAACACUUAAAUUAAGGUUGAUAUGAAUCCUGUUGCAUAAAACGUUAAACCUAGUAUGGAAUUAGUCCUAGUUCCAUUUAACUCUUCAUCUAAUCUACAUUUUCACUUUGAACCAGGAUCAAAUCUACUCUUGUUUCAAAAUCUAAUUUAAACUUAGAUUAGGGUUUAAUUAUAAAACUGCCCCUGGAGGUGGUUUAAGUGAUCAAAUGACAUUGCAUGUGCUGUAUUUUUGGUAUGACUACAAAUUUUAGCUAUUGUGGCUUAUGUUUCUAUAAGUCAACUAGCCAUAUCUAAUUUAUUAAUCUAAUAAUUUAGCCAGCAGUGACAAAUCAGGGUGGGUUGCACCAACAUAGAUAAAGACUGCCAAAAAUGCCUCUGACCACAGGAAAAGGUUAAACUGGGUUAAAUCAAGACUGAUUCAUUAAUCAUGCUUAACAAAACUUCCUGGUUAAAUUCAACCCUUUAAUUUUAAGUUAAAUUUGCACUAUUACUGUUGUCACUUUUGGAUAUUACUACAAUGUACUAUUUAUUUUUGAACCCAUUGAACAAACUUUCUUUUUUUUUAGCUGUUCUCUCAUUAACUUUCUGGUGGUAAAUUAGUGUAUCUCACUAACUCAUCUCCAAACAGACAAUUCUCUCUGACAUGGGUCAAUAUUAUGGUUCCCAACAGACUCCUGUAGAUCCAAAGCUCUAAGACAACUGGCAAACUGCAGAAAGUAAGUGGUAUCGAAUAUCAUUUUGUAGUGAAUAAGUUUGCAUAAAUAUAGUGGAGCAAACAUUUACAUUAUGGGUCAAACACUUGGUGUCAUGGGGCGACGUGCUCACACAUUAUAAUGCAAUUACAGGACCGAGCACAGUGAAGCAUGAUGACAAUUCUGGUGACCCGCUACCAAUCUUCCCUU